AUACCUCAGAACAAUAACUAAAGCAUAGAAGGAAGGCUAAAAUAAGAAUUCAGAAACUAUAAACCGGCUCUCUUCUAGCUUACGACACAAACUAUGAGUGAGAAAAGGACAAAUGAUUCGCUCUUUGCUUCAUUUUUUCCGAGGUUGUCACAACAUGAAAUGUCAUUUGGACCUAUUGGACUCAUUUUAAUUCGGCCAAAUACAUAGUAACAUACAUAAGAAGAUUUUACUUAUAUUUACCGAACUAUUUGACACGGUCGCGUGAACUUUGUUUACGAGUGUCUUGUGUUCAGAUUGUUUUAAGUGAUAAUUUAACAAUAUUUUUCCAAAUAAAUGGAAAGAAACUUUUAUUUAUAUCAAAUAAUGGAGUGUCUCGACUCUGUGACAUUAUGUCUUGUGUGGUAUGGGGCUGCAGCUCACAUUCAGGAAGAAAAGAAAAUAGCCAACAACUUCUGUCGUUUCAUCGAUAUUAAAUCCAAAAGUGUCGACUGGAUUUACAUGAAAAGUCAGUUCAAGAAGACGAGAUGAAAAAUUUAAAAGAAAAGCUGAACAAGUCACGCCUCAAGAUCAAACAACUUAAUGAAAAAAAAAAUCAAUGUGACAGGGUGUCACAAAGACAGUUUCUAAACAAAUUGACACUGUUUAGAAAUUAAUAAAUUUGUAUUUAUUGUAAAUAUAAUGUACAUAAUUAAUAACGUGUAAAAUAAAUACUUGCUAAUGAACAGAUUUACGAUCUAAUUUAUAUUUCAUUUUACCUCCUGUUCUUAUUUACUCCUACUCCAACACUCCAGGUUGAUACGAACUGCGCCCAAUAAAGAAUGUAAUGAAUGUUAUAGAUUUGUGUAAGCGACUUAGAUAAAUCUUGACUAAACCUUCCUUUACAAAUACAAAUAUACUUUAUUGCACACAACAUACAAUACUUACAAGUUUUACACGAAAGAUACAGUACACCACCUACCUACCUUUUACUUUCCCUUUCUGUUCUCUUAUGAAUACUUGUAUGCCGUAUUUUUUUUUAAGUAUAAUGCUAUAUCUAGUAGGUACGAGUAUGGUAAUCCUAGUAUUGAAACAGCUUGUAGCCCUAGUAAAGACCGCCAUUUUAUGUUUACAGAGUGGCACGUUUUUUCUGUAGGUAUUUCCAGUCCAUACUCUUUUCUAUGUCUAUGGCGUGAGCCCAUCGGGCCUCUUACCGUCUGUGCGGCUUAGACCCGGCGGUUCCAAUUUGCACGGCACAUCGAUCGACACCAGUGCACGGCGGAUGACAUCAUAAAUAAAUUCGAAUAUUACAAAAUACUUACCGAUGAAACGAUAACAGUUGGCUAUUUUCUUUCCUUCCUGAAUGUGAGCUGCAGCUCCAAACUAAUAUAAACCAGACAAUAUAAUCCAAAAAUGGUUAGAUACUUACCUAUCAGAGACAGAGUCUCCUUUCAUCAAGAAGAAGAUAAUUGCAUCCUACAAAAAGAAAUCUUGUAAAAAAAAUUUAUCGACAUUAAUUGUAAGUAAAUUUAAUUUUAUCGACAUAUUAGUAAAGUGAAACCCAACACUAGGCAAUGAAAAACUUGUGACAACCUACGAAAUUACGAAACAAUUUUUGUAUAUGCGUCUUUGUCUAACAUUACGCCGGUUCCGUAAGAUAAAGUAGAGCAGAAUUAUAGAGUUCUGUUGCUAUUUUAGCCUUCCUUCUAUGCUUUAGUUAUUGUUCUGAGUGA
rnacentral:lncRNA from 1 species